UUCCAUGCAGUCGGACGGCAGCGGGAGGUGCUUGCACCUGCCGGCGAGUGGCGAACGGGUGAGUAACAUAUUGGAAUGUACCGAGUAGUGGGGGAUAACCAAUCGAAAGAUUGGCUAAUACCGCAUACGUCCUAAGGGGGAAAGCAGGGGAUCUUCGGACCUUGCGCUAUUUGAGCAGCCAAUAUCUGAUUAGCUAGUUGGUGGGGUAAAGGCCCACCAAGGCGACGAUCAGUAGCGGGUCUGAGAGGAUGAUCCGCCACACUGGGACUGAGACACGGCCCAGACUCCUACGGGAGGCAGCAGUGGGGAAUUUUGGACAAUGGGGGCAACCCUGAUCCAGCCAUGCCGCGUGUCUGAAGAAGGCCUUCGGGUUGUAAAGGACUUUUGUUAGGGAAGAAAAGGGAAGUGCUAAUACCACUUUUUGCUGACGGUACCUAAAGAAUAAGCACCGGCUAACUACGUGCCAGCAGCCGCGGUAAUACGUAGGGUGCGAGCGUUAAUCGGAAUUACUGGGCGUAAAGCGAGCGCAGACGGUUACUUAAGCAGGAUGUGAAAUCCCCGGGCUCAACCUGGGAACUGCGUUCUGAACUGGGUAGCUAGAGUAUGUCAGAGGGGGGUAGAAUUCCACGUGUAGCAGUGAAAUGCGUAGAGAUGUGGAGGAAUACCGAUGGCGAAGGCAGCCCCCUGGGAUAAUACUGACGUUCAUGCUCGAAAGCGUGGGUAGCAAACAGGAUUAGAUA
rnacentral:rRNA from 1 species